ACAAACAAAAUGAAAGAAAGAAAAAAUAUCCAUCAGAAAUGGAAAUAUCUCGAUAAAGCCGACCCAUCGUCUUCCUCACCUUUGGCCGCCAUUGAUGAACUCAGAAACAAAUGAAAUUAAUGAAGAAAACCUUCUUAGCGAAAGAGAUUAGAAAUGAGGUGCAAUGAGCUUGGAUGGAUUACAUCCAGAACGCUGAAAACUCUCAAAGGUGUAAGUGACAGAUUGUGGGUUAGAUCAAUUCAUUCCGUUCUUCAGGGAAGAUCUAUGGAAAAGUAAAGCCAAAACGGAUCUAUCAAAACAGAUAUUCUAAAUAAAUACUUGGUCGAUACGAGACUUUUUCUUAGUUCAGUGGGGUUAACUCUCACAAGUGCCAUGUAAUCCUGUUUGAGGAAGACUUCUUCAACUCGAUGUUGCCCAGAUCUACUCUUUUAUAUCGAAGAGGCAUUUGUAGCAUCAACAAUAUCAAUUUGCAAAGGAGUGGGGAACUCCUCCUCUUGACUAGUAUUAGUUGUUGGAAUGUUCAACAACAACUUUGUUCAAGUCUUCAUGAUCAUAUUGAUCCAUUAUAUUUAACUUAUUUAAUUCUGGGCUUUUAUUGUGAUCUGUAUUCAUUGAUGGAUUAUUUAUAUGUUGUGUUUGUAAUUGUGUUAGUUUCUUUACGACUUUCUUUACUUGUGACUUCAUGCAUACUAGUACCCUAUUCCUCAUGUAUGUUAUCUGAUUUGUAGAAGGCAUUACGAAUCCACCCUUUAGUAUUCUUCUACUCCAGUUAUCUUCUAAAACAAUAAUAUCCUUUGUUGCAUUUGCAUUCUCUAUAUCCUCCUCUGUAAGUGCAUUGAAAGGGUUAUUAGUGGUAACCUUUUUUUUUUCUCUAUUUCCAUUUCAGUGGUAUUAACACAGUUGAUGUUAUUCUAUAAUUUCUUCUUAGGAAU